AUAUAAAACACAAUUUAAAAUACAAUGAAAUAAAACUUAUAGGCAUAUAAAACAACAAUUUAUUAUUUCUUCUGAUUGCUAAUAUCACAUUGUUGCCAACGGUUGCCAAUAUCACAUUGUUUUUGUUUUCACAUGAUCACUCUUUGGGCAAAAUAUUCAAACUGUUAUGGACACAUCUGAAAUUCUUGUCAGAUGUUCAUUCUGAAAUUGAUUGACAAAGGAAAAAAAUAGAACUGUGAGAAAAAAGAAAGAAAGGGAGAAAAUAGUCAGUUGGUGACAGUUGGGUAAGCUGAAAGAAGAAACUACUUUUCGGUGGACUUAUGCAAACCAGUGAUCCCACUGGCAAAUAGAAGUUGAUUAGGAAUAGCCUUGGGGAGAAGGAUCUCAAUGUACAGAAAAGGAUUUAUUAAUAUUUUCUCAUCAUGAAGAGACUUCAUCAAGUUAUUUGCUGUACACAUUGUUUAUCUUCUGAAUUAUAAUUAUUUUUGACUUAAUUAGUUUAUAAUCCAUGUGCCAACAUGUACCAGGCCCUUGGGCUAAUCUGAUUCCCUUCAUAAGCUGACAGAGCAGGCCUUUCAUUGACCAGGGUUUUCUCGUACCCAACUGCUGUGUCAGAAAGCCUCUUGAGUUCCAGGAAAAUGAAUGCCCACUUAUUUCUUGUUCUGGCAGCUGUUCUCGGCAUCUUGAUCUCUGGAGGUUCAUCCUCUUCUAAUGAAGAAGCUCAUACCAGUGCUAGUAAGUAUGUGAGAACAGAAUAAAAUGGACAGAGAUUUUUUGAAGCAGUACAAAGUAGUGAUUCCCUUAUCAGAGAAAUGGUUCUAUUAUUACUUUUAUAUGUGGUCCUUCUUCUAAAGAGCUCAAAGUGACAUACAUCUCCCCUCCCAAACUUCUGCUUUGCUGCAUCCCACUUCAGCAAAUAAUUAGCUUACAGCAAUUUUUGCUGCAAUAUGUCACAUUGACAGGAGUGGAUGAGCUGCCCCAUGGCAAAAAGUAGUAAAAUAUUUAUAUCUUUUUAGUGUCCCAAUUGUUGCUAUUCAACAGUUUGAGUUGGA
rnacentral:lncRNA from 1 species